GGGAACUAGCAAAACGGAUCGAGGACAACAAGAGGAGCAAGAAAGGUGCAUCUUCCAUGUAGAUCGGUCCUUUCCCCAUAUCUUCCCACUGCCCUAGGGUUUGGGGAACGACCAAGGUGGUAACGCUCCGGAUCACGCUUAGAGCGGCUGUCUCCUUCAUUGGGAGGCAAGUAACGUAGCAGUGGUUGCUACAAGCUUUAAUUUGCUAUUUUUGCUACCUCCACCUUGAAUUUCAGAAUGAUAACUUAUCCAAUAUCAUCCAUUCAAUUACAAGUUUAUGCACAUCUUACUGUUGUUAUUACAUAUGCCUUGUUCUUUACUUUAUAACUUGGUAAUGGCUCUUGUUGGCAUAAUUAUGAUGAGGUUUAUGUUGUCAAAUGAGGAAAGACUUAUCUGGUAUAAGCGGUGUAUACUCUCUUUGUGCGAUCUGUCUUGGCAUUGCAUUUCAUUGCAUCACAAUGCAUGGCAUAUGGAGUUAAGUCGCUGCUUGAUAGCUGCGAUCGUACCGGUACAACAUUGUUUAUUGGGCAUAACGAUGCAGCUUCAUACUUUGUUGAGUAUGAAGGCAGGAGACAUGGCAUUUGCAUUGCAUUUGCAUUUAGGGUGCUAUCGAUUUUCUAUGGUAUUUAUUUGGCAGUGGUGGUGAGAAGUGAAUUUUCUCCAAGGUUAGGUGAUGAAUUGGUUUUAUAUAUGUAUGAGGGUGUUGGAGUUAUUAUUAUUAUUUAUUAUUCAUUGAGGAGAUACGCUUGCUGAUAAUAGUUAAACCAUGGUCUAAUGAACUUGUAGUUUAAAUAGCUUGUUAAAGCUAGUUACUUGCUGAGAUUUUAUAUCUCACCCCCGUUUUUUUUAUCCUCUCAGGUACUUGAUGGAUGGAUGCUUUGCUUGGGGGUUGGGAAGUAGCAGCACGUCACACACUUCUCUUUAAUCAAAAUCCUCUAGUGUGAUGCUGUAAUAUUUAAGUCCUUC
rnacentral:lncRNA from 1 species